CCUACGGGAGGCAGCAGUAGGGAAUCUUCCACAAUGGGCGAAAGCCUGAUGGAGCAACGCCGCGUGAGUGAUGAAGGCCUUCGGGUUGUAAAACUCUGCCAUUCGGGACGAACCGGAGUCUGAGGAAAUGCAGACUCUCUGACGGUACCGGAGGAGGAAGCCCCGGCUAACUACGUGCCAGCAGCCGCGGUAAUACGUAGGGGGCAAGCGUUGUCCGGAUUCACUGGGCGUAAAGCGCGCGCAGGCGGUGAUGUAAGUCUGAGGUGAAAACCCGAAGCUCAACUUCGGGACUGCCUUGGAUACUGCGUCACUUGAGGAUAGGAGAGGCAAGGGGAAUUCCACGUGUAGCGGUGAAAUGCGUAGAGAUGUGGAGGAACACCUGUGGCGAAGGCGCCUUGCUGGCCUAUUUCUGACGCUGAGGCGCGAAAGCGUGGGGAGCAAACAGGAUUAGAUACCCUGGUAGUCCACGCUGUAAACGAUGAGUGCUAGGUGUAGGUGGGCUCAUACCCAUCUGUGCCGAAGCUAACGCAUUAAGCNCNCCGCCGUGGGAGGUACGGUCGCGACGACGUAGAACGUACGAAAGUAAGUAGUUAGGACGCGNGGAGACGCGACGACGGACGACGACGGAGGGAGGAGG
rnacentral:rRNA from 1 species